CAUUGAUCACUUAUUCUAGGAUUUGCAGCGCUAAAGAUGAUUUCCGAAGCCUUAGUGAGGUUUUACCUUGCGAACCGUUCCGAAAUCGACAAUUUUUUUCAAUGUCGCUUGGACGAGGUAAACACUCUAAUGAGGAUGUGUAUGCCAGUGCUAACAGAGCUAUGUAGACUGCUGUUGGAAAUCGGUGUCAACGUACUGGGGCUCGGCAAUCUGGCGGUCCAUACGCUGGCCAUUCCGAUGGAAGUUAUAUCCCGCUUUGCUUAUGAUCGGUCGACUACUCGCAGUAUGGACAAUGCUUCGCUGUGGAGGGAAACCGGAGUGCCGAAAAACCCCAAAUUAUCUGUCUUGGUGACCAUGAGUAAAAAAGAAAUAAGUUAAGACAACGAGUCAAGCCCUGGACGCCUUGGUAAGAAGUAAGUGCCCUAUCCAUGGCAACAAGAUAGCCGUGACGUGUUCUGUUCAUGGCUUUAAGACACGUCGUUUUUAAAUAAUUUAGAACCGGCGACCGUGUACCGCCUGACAAGUUAAUAUAGUGGGUGUGUGGUAAAUGCGGUACAAUAAAUGUCAGUAAAACCAUUGUGUUAAGCUCAAUUAUUGACAAUUUUGACGAGUAAUCUUGCGAAUGACGAUUCCGUUUGCAAAAGAAAAUGUAUACGUGUAUCCUUAUUCAUUUAUAAUAUUGGCUUAUACAUUAUGCUCAUCAUUGAAGGUAUCGAGCAUUAUGCUAUUGAAUGCAAAUAUAUGACAUGCUUUUGUUUGUCUUUCGCGAUAGGGGAUUGAUCACACAAUGGAAUUCAUUAAUUCAUUAAAAUCAGUAGAAAUCGCAUGUUAUAAUCAGUUUAGAAAUAAGGCUAUGCUAAAACGCUUUUUGUUUACCGUCUAAAAACUGAAGAAAUAGGAAAAUAAAAAUUCGAUUUUAUAAUUAUCAGGUGGAAGGCAAAGCAGUUCAUCACUGUGACAUAUUUUUUAAACUUGACAUUGUUAGCUUCAUAGGUUUAAGUAUCAAUAUAUCAGUUCAUUGCUGUCGUAUUUGUCUUAAUUUGUUCAUCAAUAAUUGCUCCAUCAAAUAAUAUUUCUAUAAUCUUGAAAGUGCUAUUGUUCAUGUUUUUUUACUAAGGUCUGAAGGUUUCUAUUUACACUCGAUUAAGUAAAGCCGGGUAUAUACAAGAUUGUUCUAACGUGGUAAAUACGUUUCUUUGAAUACUUUUAGAAAUUCUGCAGAGUCAAGUUGUUUUCCUUUACAUUUGAAGAAUAUUAUUUUCCUGAUUUUGUCAAAUAAAUGUGUGUAACUUGCUUACUCAUAUUGGCCACUACCUAGUUUCCUGUUAUGGGACAGUGCGGGCUAACUAUUUAAAUUUAAGUUUUGUUGUAAGAUUUUGUCAAAUAAAUGAGUGUAACUUGCUUACUCCUGUUACUAUGUCAUUCUAAAGGAAUAUUAACAUUUUAGUUUCUUUAAUUCAACCAAGAGCUAAGACGUUUGGCUCAGUCUUUUUCUAUAUUGCGAUAAAUUUGUUGAACAAGUGGUCAGUUAUCAGUGUGAAGUUAAACAUUAUUUUUGGUAAAAUCAGUUGAAGCAUGAUAUAGAGACUAUGUCGUAAAUACUGAUAACUACUAUGAUAAUAUCGUAUUUUAUUGUCAGGAAUGGACAUAUCAAUGACAAAAGACAUCCCCUGAGCUCUAAUAAGUGAUCGCAUUAAUAACUUUAGAUUACUUUAUUUGAAAUUUGUGCUUUUUGUGUAAACGUAUGACGGUUGUCCAUGCGCGUUUCGUCUGCUUCCUCUGAUAAGACCAUUCGUAAUGGAACACAUGCCGGAAUCAAUCUAUAAUCGAUCAAAUGGGGGCGAUUAUACCUUUAAAAGCUCCAAAACAAGAACAUCAGAAAGAAGCCAUUCGGUGACAAGAGCUUAGUUAAAAAGGUUACCAUUGGAUGACACUAGCCUUGUUAGAAAGGUUAAUAUAAAUUGAUAAGAACCUUGUUAAAAAGGUUACCAUUGGAUGUCACGAGCUUACAAAGAAAUGUCACGAUUCGGUGACAAGAGCUUAGAUUAAAAUGUUACCAUUGGUUGACCAGAGCCUUGUUAGAAAGGUUACCAUUGAAUGACAAGAGCCUUUUUAAAAAGGUUACUUAUGGAUAUCAAGAGCCUAGUUAGAAUGGUUACCAAUCGAUAACAAAUGGUGUUUUCAGAAAGGAUUCCAUUGGUUGACAAGAGCUAAGUUAGAAAGGUAACCAUUGGUUGACAUGAGCCUUGUAAGAAAGGUUACUAUUUGAUGACAAGCACCUUGUUAGUAAGGUAACUUUUGGAUGCCAAGAGCCUACUUAGAAUGGUUACCAAUCGAUGACAAGUGCCUAGUUAAAAAGGUUACCAUUGAAUGAAAAGAGCCUUGUUAGAAAGGUUACCAUUGGAUGACAGAUUCUAGUUAGAAAGGUAACUAUUGGAUGACAUGAUUCUUUAAAAAAAGGGUUCAAUUGUAUGACAAGAACUUAAUAAGGAAGUUUACCAUUCCAUGACACUAGCCUAAU